rnacentral:rRNA from 1 species
CACUAAGCCAGUGGUGAACUCCACAUACGCAUCCUUUGCUGAGGAUACGGUUAACGGAGCGCAAGCGACGUUCAACCGCAAAAGAAGCAGAGGGGGCUUAGUGGUGGGGUGACUGCGUACCUUUUGUAUAAUGGGUCAGCGACUUAUAUUCUGUAGCAAGGUUAACCGAAUAGGGGAGCCGGAGGGAAACCGAGUCUUAAUUGGGCGUUAAGUUGCAGGGUAUAGACCCGAAACCCGGUGAUCUAGCCAUGGGCAGGUUGAAGGUUGGGUAACACUAACUGGAGGACCGAACCGACUAAUGUUGAAAAAUUAGCGGAUGACCUGUGGCUGGGGGUGAAAGGCCAAUCAAACCGGGAGAUAGCUGGUUCUCCCCGAAAGCUAUUUAGGUAGCGCCUCGUGAAUUCAUCUCCGGGGGUAGAGCACUGUUUCGGCUAGGGGGCCAUCCCGGCUUACCAACCCGAUGCAAACUGCGAAUACCGGAGAAUGUUAUCACGGGAGACACACGGCGGGUGCUAACGUCCGUCGUGAAGAGGGAAACAACCCAGACCGCCAGCUAAGGUCCCAAAGUCAUGGUUAAGUGGGAAACGAUGUGGGAAGGCCCAGACAGCCAGGAUGUUGGCUUAGAAGCAGCCAUCAUUUAAAGAAAGCGUAAUAGCUCACUGGUCGAGUCGGCCUGCGCGGAAGAUGUAACGGGGCUAAACCAUGCACCGAAGCUGCGGCAGCGACGCUGAUGCGUUGUUGGGUAGGGGAGCGUUCUGUAAGCCUGCGAAGGUGGCCUGUGAGGGUUGCUGGAGGUAUCAGAAGUGCGAAUGCUGACAUAAGUAACGAUAAAGCGGGUGAAAAGCCCGCUCGCCGGAAGACCAAGGGUUCCUGUCCAACGUUAAUCGGGGCAGGGUGAGUCGACCCCUAAGGCGAGGCCGAAAGGCGUAGUCGAUGGGAAACGGGUUAAUAUUCCCGUACUUGGUGUUACUGCGAAGGGGGGACGGAGAAGGCUAUGUUGGCCGGGCGACGGUUGUCCCGGUUUAAGCGUGUAGGUGUGUGUUCCAGGUAAAUCCGGUU